rnacentral:rRNA from 1 species
UGGGGAAUAUUGGACAAUGGGGGGUACCCUGAUCCAGCCAUGCCGCGUGUGUGAAGAAGGUCUUCGGAUUGUAAAGCACUUUAAGUUGGGAGGAAGGGCAGUAAGCGAAUACCUUGCUGUUUUGACGUUACCGACAGAAUAAGCACCGGCUAACUCUGUGCCAGCAGCCGCGGUAAUACAGAGGGUGCAAGCGUUAAUCGGAUUUACUGGGCGUAAAGCGUGCGUAGGCGGCUAAUUGAGUCGGAUGUGAAAUCCCCGAGCUUAACUUGGGAAUUGCAUUCGAUACUGGUUAGCUAGAGUGUGGGAGAGGAUGGUAGAAUUCCAGGUGUAGCGGUGAAAUGCGUAGAGAUCUGGAGGAAUACCGAUGGCGAAGGCAGCCAUCUGGCCUAACACUGACGCUGAGGUACGAAAGCAUGGGGAGCAAACAGG